rnacentral:RNase_P_RNA from 1 species
GCAGAGAGCUGGAUGGCCGCGGGGGCGUAUGCCCGCGAGGAAAGUCCGGACUCCACAAAGCAACGGUGCCGGGUAACGCCCGGCCGGGGAAACCCGAGGGAAAGCGCCACAGAGAACAGACUGCCCCGAUCCGUCGGGGUCAAGGUGAAACGGUGGGGUAAGAGCCCACCGCGUGGCUGGCAACAGCGGCGGCACGGCAAGCCCCACCGGGAGCAAUGCCAAAUAGGGACCGCGUGUGCGCAAGCACAGGAGCGCUUUGCUCCGAGCAGGUCCGGGUUGGCAGCUUGAGGUGUCUGGUAACAGGCACCCUAGAUGAAUGGUCAUUGAACCGGCUUCGGCUGGGGAACAGAAUCCGGCUUAUAGGCUCUCUGCGCGU